AUUGAACGCUGGCGGCAUGCCUUACACAUGCAAGUCGAACGGUAACAGGUCUUCGGAUGCUGACGAGUGGCGAACGGGUGAGUAAUACAUCGGAACGUGCCCGAGAGUGGGGGAUAACGAGGCGAAAGCUUUGCUAAUACCGCAUAAGGUCUACGGAUGAAAGCAGGGGACCGCAAGGCCUUGCGCGAACGGAGCGGCCGAUGGCAGAUUAGGUAGUUGGUGGGAUAAAAGCUUACCAAGCCGACGAUCUGUAGCUGGUCUGAGAGGACGACCAGCCACACUGGGACUGAGACACGGCCCAGACUCCUACGGGAGGCAGCAGUGGGGAAUUUUGGACAAUGGGCGAAAGCCUGAUCCAGCCAUGCCGCGUGCAGGAUGAAGGCCUUCGGGUUGUAAACUGCUUUUGUACGGAACGAAAAGACUCUUUCUAAUAAAGAGGGUCCAUGACGGUACCGUAAGAAUAAGCACCGGCUAACUACGUGCCAGCAGCCGCAGUAAGAC
rnacentral:rRNA from 1 species